rnacentral:rRNA from 1 species
GACGAACGCUGGCGGCGUGCUUAACACAUGCAAGUCGAACGGAAAGGCGAUGCUCUUGUGGGGUGCACGAGUGGCGAACGGGUGAGUAAAACGUGAGGAAAAUGCACUUGUAUUUGGGAUAACAUCAGGAAAAUGGGGCUAAUACCGGGUAGGAGCUUCUGAAGCAUGGGGGGGGAUGGAAAGAGUCGGCGGUUGGGGAUGGACUCGAGGCUUAUCAGCUUGAUGGGGGGGUAGGGGAGUACCAAGGCUUUGACGGGUAGCCGGCCUGAGAGGGUGACCGGCCACCUUGGGACUGAGAUACGGACCAGACGCCUACGGGAGGCAGCAGUGGGGAACAUUGCGCAGUGGGGGGACGCCUGGUGCAGCAACGCCGGGUGCGGGAUGCCGGCUUUCGGGUUGUAAACCUCUUUCGCCUGUGCCGAAGCGUGCGUGACGGUAAUGGGUAAAGAAGCACCGGCUAACUACGUG